CGUGUAGGCGGACUGGUAAGUCGGACGUGAAAUCCCUGGGCUCAACCCAGGAACUGCAUCCGAAACUAUCAGUCUGGAGUGGUGGAGAGGAAAGCAGAAUUCCUGGUGUAGAGGUGAAAUUCGUAGAUAUCAGGAGGAACACCGGUGGCGAAGGCGGCUUUCUGGACACUAACUGACGCUGAGACGCGAAAGCGUGGGGAGCAAACAGGAUUAGAUACCCUGGUAGUCCACGCCGUAAACGAUGAGUGCUGGGUGUCGCGGGUUUUGACCCCUGCGGUGCCGUAGCUAACGCGUUAAGCACUCCGCCUGGGGAGUACGGCCGCAAGGCUAAA
rnacentral:rRNA from 1 species